rnacentral:rRNA from 1 species
UACGGAGGGGGCUAGCGUUGUUCGGAAUUACUGGGCGUAAAGCGCACGUAGGCGGCGAUCUAAGUCAGAGGUGAAAGCCCGGGGCUCAACCCCGGAAUAGCCUUUGAGACUGGAUUGCUAGAAUCUUGGAGAGGCGAGUGGAAUUCCGAGUGUAGAGGUGAAAUUCGUAGAUAUUCGGAAGAACACCAGUGGCGAAGGCGGCCCGCUGGACAAGUAUUGACGCUGAGGUGCGAAAGCGUGGGGAGCAAACAGG